rnacentral:rRNA from 1 species
CGUUAUUCGAGCGGCCGACGUCUGAUUAGCUAGUUGGUGAGGUAAAGGCUCACCAAGGCGACGAUCAGUAGCGGGUCUGAGAGGAUGAUCCGCCACACUGGGACUGAGACACGGCCCAGACUCCUACGGGAGGCAGCAGUGGGGAAUUUUGGACAAUGGGCGCAAGCCUGAUCCAGCCAUGCCGCGUGUCUGAAGAAGGCCUUCGGGUUGUAAAGGACUUUUGUCGGGGAGAAAAUCCUGAACCCUAAUACGGUUCGGGGAUGAUAGUACCCGAAGAAUAAGCACCGGCUAACUACGUGCCAGCAGCCGCGGUAAUACGUAGGGUGCAAGCGUUAAUCGGAAUUACUGGGCGUAAAGCGUGCGCAGGCGGUUGGUUAAGCUAGAUGUGAAAGCCCCGGGCUCAACCUGGGAACUGCGUUUAGAACUGGCCAACUAGAGUACGUCAGAGGGGGGUGGAAUUCCACGUGUAGCAGUGAAAUGCGUAGAGAUGUGGAGGAACACCAAUGGCGAAGGC